GCCCCCUUAGCUCAGCUGGAUAGAGCACCGGACUUCUAAUCCGGUUGUCGCAGGUUCGACUCCUGCAGGGGGUG
rnacentral:tRNA from 1 species